rnacentral:rRNA from 1 species
CAGCCGCCGCGGUAAAACAGAGGAUGCAAGCGUUAUCCGGAAUGAUUGGGCGUAAAGCGUCUGUAGGUGGCUUUUCAAGUCCGCCGUCAAAUCCCAGGGCUCAACCCUGGACAGGCGGUGGAAACUACCAAGCUGGAGUACGGUAGGGGCAGAGGGAAUUUCCGGUGGAGCGGUGAAAUGCGUAGAGAUGUGGAGGAACACCAGUGGCGAAGGCGACUCUCUGGUCUGUAACUGACGCUGAGGAGCGAAAGCGUGGGGAGCGAACAGGAUUAGAUACCCCAGUAGUCCCUGUCUCUUAUAC